rnacentral:rRNA from 1 species
GACGAACGCUGGCGGCGCGCCUAACACAUGCAAGUCGAACGGAGCUGAGAGAAGCUUGCUUUUCUUAGCUUAGUGGCGAACGGGUGAGUAACGCGUGUAUAACCUGCUCUGGAGUGGGGGACAACAGUUGGAAACGACUGCUAAUAGCGCAUAAGCCCACGAUCCGGCAUCGGAUUGAGGGAAAAGGGUUUAUUCGCUUCAGGAUGGCCUCGCGUCCAAUUAGCUAGUUGGUGAGGUAACGGCCCACCAAGGCGACGAUUGGUAGCCGGACUGAGAGGUUGAACGGCCACAUUGGGACUGAGACACGGCCCAGACUCCUACGGGAGGCAGCAGUGGGGGAUAUUACACAAUGGGGGAAACCCUGAUGCAGCGACGCCGCGUGGAGGAAGAAGGGUUUCGGAUUGUAAACUCCUGUCGGUAGGGACGAUAAUGACGGUACCUAACAAAAAAGCACCGGCUAACUACGUG